rnacentral:rRNA from 1 species
UACGUAGGUGGCGAGCGUUGUCCGGAUUUACUGGGCGUAAAGCGCGCGCAGGCGGUCCGGUAAGUCUCCGGUGAAAUCGCCCGGCUCAACUGGGCGGGUGCCGGGGAGACUGGCGGACUUGAGGAGCCUAGAGGCCGGUGGAACUCCCGGUGUAGUGGUGAAAUGCGUAGAGAUCGGGAAGAACACCAGUGGCGAAGGCGGCCGGCUGGGGGUGUCCUGACGCUGAGGCGCGAGAGCGUGGGGAGCAAACCGG